rnacentral:rRNA from 1 species
AGCGGGAAGAGCUCAAAUUUGUAAUCUGGCACUUUCAGUGUCCGAGUUGUAAUCUCGAGAAGUGUUUUCCGCGCCGGACCGCAUACAAGUCUGUUGGAAUACAGCGUCAUAGUGGUGAGAACCCCGUAACUGAUGCGGAUGCCCGGUGCUUUGUGAUACACUUUCGAAGAGUCGAGUUGUUUGGGAAUGCAGCUCAAAUUGGGUGGUAAAUUCCAUCUAAAGCUAAAUAUUGGCGAGAGACCGAUAGCGAACAAGUACCGUGAGGGAAAGAUGAAAAGCACUUUGGAAAGAGAGUUAACAGUACGUGAAAUUGUUGGAAGGGAAACGCUUGAAGUCAGACUUGCUAUUUGGAGUUCAACCCAUGGUGUAUUCUUCAAUUUGCAGGCCAGCAUCAGUUUCUGGGGGUGGAAAAUCGUAGUUUGAAUGUAGCAGUUUCGGCUGUGUUAUAGCUUUCUACUGGAUUCAUCUUCGGGGACUGAGGAACGCAGUGCGCUUUUAGCAAGGCUUUCGAGCUUUACGCACUUAGGAUGCUGGUGGAAUGGCUUUAAACGACCCGUCUUGAAACACGGGACCA